UCGCGCUGGGUUGGGCUCCAUUUGGGGGGUAGCGCUCCCUACCAAGGAUUUGUCCAUACCUAGGGCUCGAACCCGAGACCUCUGAUUAAGGAAGGAGCAGCUUCAUCCACUGCACCACAUCCUUUAGUGAUCUAGUGCUCAAAUUUGAGACCUCUAAUUAUAAAUGAAACAGCACUUACCGCUCUACAGGUUGAUUCCUUGGACAAUAUCUUUGCCAAACUUUUAAAGAUUCUUUUGACAUUUGAAUACAAAUUAAAUCUUCUUUAUAAAUAGCCUAAAAUACUUCACUAACUCUUAGGUAGAAUUAAUUUCACAACAAAAACACCAUGAAAAUUCUUAUAUUAGUUUCAUGGCUUUGCCUUAUUAUGUUCUUGAAUAUUUUAACAUACUCAUCUUGCACCUUCAUCCCAAAAUCCACAAAUUAUGAACUAGUCUUGCACAAUGAAAAAAAGGGAAAGAUUGCAAAUGAUUCAUUGGUUGAAUCCACAAGUACAAAGAGCAACAAGGAUGAACAUAGAAAUCUUCAUAAAAUUAUUCAUCAAAAAAGAGGAGCUUAUGGUGGACCAGACCUUCUUAGAAAGGGACCUAAAAAAAAUGGAGCCAAUAAUUACAAGUUUGAAUGGCCAAUUUUAAUUUCUUCUCUCUUAUUUUUUCUAGUUUUGGUAAUUACUAAUAAUCUGUGGUAGAUUACUAUUUCGAUAUGUAUUACUUGAGUCGAGAGUGUUUUAAAAUAGUAUUUCUAUUUUCAUGAGCUAAGGGUAACGUGUACCAUUUUACCUUUUUCCUUCGAACUCUUCUUAUUGGAUUACGUUGGAUAUGUUAUUGUUGUGAUAGUUAAGAAAAUAUUACCUUC